UGUGGCUCAUUGAUAGAGUGCUUGCCUAGGGUGCAUGAGGUUCUGGGUUUGAUCCCCAGCA
rnacentral:tRNA from 1 species